GAUGAACGCUGGCGGCGUGCCUAAUACAUGCAAGUCGAGCGAACAGAUAAGGAGCUUGCUCCUUUGACGUUAGCGGCGGACGGGUGAGUAACACGUGGGUAACCUACCUAUAAGACUGGAAUAACUCCGGGAAACCGGGGCUAAUGCCGGAUAACAUGUUGAACCGCAUGGUUCUAUAGUGAAAGGCGGCUUUGCUGUCUCUUAUAGAUGGUCCCGCGCCGUAUUAGCUAGUUGUUGAGGUAACGGCUUACCAAGGCAACGAUACGUAGCCGACCUGAGAGGGUGAUCGGCCACACUGGAACUGAGACACGGUCCAGACUCCUACGGGAGGCAGCAGUAGGGAAUCUUCCGCAAUGGGCGAAAGCCUGACGGAGCAACGCCGCGUGAGUGAUGAAGGUCUUCGGAUCGUAAAACUCUGUUAUUAGGGAAGAACAAAUGCGUAAGUAACUGUGCGCGUCUUGACGGUACCUAAUCAGAAAGCCACGGCUAACUACGUG
rnacentral:rRNA from 1 species